UCUCUUAGGGACCUACACUCGGGCAAAACU
rnacentral:piRNA from 1 species